rnacentral:rRNA from 1 species
UGGGGAAUUUUGGACAAUGGGCGCAAGCCUGAUCCAGCAAUGCCGCGUGCAGGAUGAAGGCCUCCGGGUUGCAAACUGCUUUUGUACGGAACGAAAAAGCUCUCUCUAAUACAGGGGGUGAAUGACGGUACCGUAAGAAUAAGCACCGGCUAACUACGUGCCAGCAGCCGCGGUAAUACGUAGGGUGCAAGCGUUAAUCGGAAUUACUGGGCGUAAAGCGUGCGCAGGCGGUUCGGAAAGAAAGGUGUGAAAUCCCAGGGCUUAACCUUGGAAAUGCACUUUUAACUACCGGGCUAGAGUACGUCAGAGGGGGGUAGAAUUCCACGUGUAGCAGUGAAAUGCGUAGAGAUGGGGAGGAAUACCCAUGGCGAAGGCAGCCCCCUGGGAUGAUACUGACGCUCAUGCACAAAAGCGUGGGGAGCA